GGCUCAAGAUGAACGCUGGCGGUAUGCUUAACACAUGCAAGUCGAACGGUGUCUUCGGACACAGUGGCGGACGGGUGAGAAACGCGUGAGAAUCUGGCUUCAGGUCGGGGACAACCACUGGAAACGGUGGCUAAUACCGGAUGUGCCGAAAGGUGAAAGAUUUAUUGCCUGAAGAUGAGCUCGCGUCUGAUUAGCUAGUAGGUGUGGUAAGAGCGCACCUAGGCGACGAUCAGUAGCUGGUCUGAGAGGAUGAUCAGCCACACUGGGACUGAGACACGGCCCAGACUCCUACGGGAGGCAGCAGUGGGGAAUUUUCCGCAAUGGGCGAAAGCCUGACGGAGCAAUACCGCGUGAGGGAGGAAGGCUCUUGGGUUGUAAACCUCUUUUCUCAGGGAAGAAAAAAAUGACGGUACCUGAGGAAUAAGCAUCGGCUAACUCCGUGCCAGCAGCCGCGGUAAUACGGAGGAUGCAAGCGUUAUCCGGAAUGAUUGGGCGUAAAGCGUCCGCAGGUGGCUAUGUAAGUCUGCUGUUAAAGAGUGAGGCUCAACCUCAUAAAAGCAGUGGAAACUACAUAGCUAGAGUGCGUUCGGGGCAGAGGGAAUUCCUGGUGUAGCGGUGAAAUGCGUAGAGAUCAGGAAGAACACCGGUGGCGAAAGCGCUCUGCUAGGCCGCAACUGACACUGAGGGACGAAAGCUAGGGGAGCGAAUGGGAUUAGAUACCCCAGUAGUCCUAGCCGUAAACGAUGGAUACUAGGCGUGGCUUGUAUCGACCCGAGCCGUGCCGUAGCUAACGCGUUAAGUAUCCCGCCUGG
rnacentral:rRNA from 1 species